AGGUCAAGUGAAGAAGGGCGCACGGUGAAUGCCUUGGCACUGGAAGCCGAUGAAGGACGCGACUAACCGCGAAAGUCUUCGGGGAGCCGUAAGUAGGCUUUGAUCCGGAGGUCUCCGAAUGGGGGAACCCAGCAUGUGCAGACAUGCUAUCCUUAAGUGAAUACAUAGCUUAAGGAGGGAACACGCAGUGAACUGAAACAUCUAAGUAGCUGCAGGAAGAGAAAGAAAUAUCGAUUUCCCAAGUAGCGGCGAGCGAACAGGAAAGAGCCCAAACCGGCAGAUUUAUCUGCCGGGGUUGUAGGACUGAGACAUGGCACUUCAGAGGAUAGCAGAAGCGUUUGGGAAAGCGCGCCAGAGAGGGUGAGAGCCCCGUAAGCGAAAUCCAAAGAAGGCCUAUCAGUAUCCUGAGUAGGGCGGGACACGUGAAAUCCCGUUUGAAUCCGCGAGGACCAUCUCGCAAGGCUAAAUACUAACCAGUGACCGAUAGUGAACCAGUACCGUGAGGGAAAGGUGAAAAGAACCCCGGGAGGGGAGUGAAAGAGAACCUGAAACCGUGUGCCUACAAGUAGUCAGAGCCCGUUAACGGGUAAUGGCGUGCCUUUUGUAGAAUGAACCGGCGAGUUGCGUUAGUCAGCAAGGUUAAGUCAGAAAAGACGGAGCCGUAGCGAAAGCGAGUCUGAAGAGGGCGAGCAGUUGGCUGACGCAGACCCGAAACCAAGUGACCUACCCAUGACCAGGUUGAAGGCGCGGUAAAACGCGCUGGAGGACCGAACCCACGUAAGUUGAAAAUUGCGGGGAUGAGUUGUGGGUAGCGGUGAAAUUCCAAACGAACUUGGAGAUAGCUGGUUCUCUCCGAAAUAGCUUUAGGGCUAGCCUCGCAAAGAGGAUGCUGGAGGUAGAGCUCUGUUUGGACUAGGGGCCCGUCAAGGGUUACUGAAUUCAGAUAAACUGCGAAUUCCAGACAUUUAUGUGCGGGAGUCAGACUGCGAGUGAUAAGAUCCGUAGUCGAAAGGGAAACAGCCCAGAUCACCAGUUAAGGUCCCAAAAUUCAUGCUAAGUGGAAAAGGAUGUGGAGUUGCGCAGACAACUAGGACGUUGGCUCAGAAGCAGCCAUCAUUCAAAGAGUGCGUAAUAGCUCACUAGUCGAGUGACGCCGCGCCGAAAAUUUACCGGGGCUAAGCAUGAUACCGAAACUGUGGAUGUGCGUUUAUGCACGUGGUAGGAGAGCGUUCUAGCGGCGGUGAAGCAUGACCGAGAA
rnacentral:rRNA from 1 species